rnacentral:misc_RNA from 1 species
UCCGGCUUAUCACCGGCAGUCCCACUAGAGUGCCCAACUAAAUGAUGGCAACUAAUGGCGAGGGUUGCGCUCGUUGCGGGACUUAACCCAACGUCUCACGACACGAGCUGACGACAGCCAUGCAGCACCUGUGUUACGGUUCCCUUUCGGGCACACCUCCACCUCUGGAGGCUUCCGUACAUGUCAAGGGUAGGUAAGGUUUUUCGCGUUGCAUCGAAUUAAUCCACAUAAUCCACCGCUUGUGCGGGUCCCCGUCAAUUCCUUUGAGUUUUAACCUUGCGGCCGUACUCCCCAGGCGGUCAACUUCACGCGUUAGCUUCGUCACUGCGAGGGUUAAGCCCGCAACAACUAAUAUCCAUCGUUUACAGCGUGGACUAC